AGUCACUCCCUGGAGCUUGAGAAAGACUGGCUGCCUUGCAAGCAGAGAGCAGUUAGCACCUUGAACAGAACAUUGCUGGGCAGGAUCAGGGGAGCGAGAGUGAGCUCCCAGCAGACUCCCUAAGACAAGGGUGAAGGUGAUGCUGAGCUGUGGGGAAGUGGCCCAGGGAAGUAGACUGCUGGGUUGGAGGGGAUACAGCACGUGGCUGCCAUCUACAGGGUCCCUGGGCCGGGACCUGGAGUAGUGGGUGGGCCCAGGUUCCCCACCACCACUCUACCCCUCGCCAUAGAGGAAGUGUCUGAACAGUGGACUGCCGUUCACCCAGAAGGAGGGAGGGGAGGGGAGGGGAGAACAGGGUGUGACACAGCCAGAGGGCUGUGUCCUGAAGAGGACGCUGUAUCUUUUGGGACGACACGCAUCUUGGAGCAUAAGUGACGGCAGCGAGACAUCACCAGACAAGGGUGCAGGGAUGGACUAACCUAAUUCCCAGUACAGCCAGCAGGAGGUGCUGCAAUGAAGACAUCAGUGGCUGGGACAUGUGCUGAGAAUGGAAAAAGAACACUUACCAAAUACUGCCCUUGAAUGGAAGCCAGAAAACGCAAGAGAGGAAGACCAUGAAUAACAUGGAAAUGAACAGUUCUGAACAACAUCAAGCACUUCAACAUGAAAUGGGAAGAUUUGGAGAGAAGGGCAGUUGACAGGCAAGGAUGGCAAAUCUGCAUCUACCAUGGGAGAAAGGAAAGAAGAGUGCUGGGCUUUUUAGUCUCUAAGGUGGUUUGAGCAAAUAAGACACUCAGCAGGCAAGUUUCAAAAUUCUGCUCUAACAUAUGCCUCUCCAUAAUCACCAGGUUUUCUGUUUAUAAAAUGUUCUAUACUUUACUAAACCAGAUUAAUAGCAUGGGGGAAGGAAGGGGAAUAGCAUCAGCACCUGAUGUGAUCAACUGUUAAGAUGACAAUAUAAGGUGUUGAUUCCAUUUUAAAAGAUAAUCCAUAGCAAAUUCUGCUCGGUUACACUCAGGCAGCCCUAUAGACUUCAGUGUGUCUCAGAAUUAAGUCCCCCUUGCUCAGAGUAGUCAGUGCAGCAUACACACCAAUUCACCCUUUUUAAGUAUCUUAGUAUAUUCUCCAGAAAGCUAGUACUAUCCACUUGAUUGCUGCUGAGUGUUCCAUGAUCAUUUUACUGAAACCAAUGGCAUAUUAAUGGGUAACAGCAGCCCAGCAGAUGUGACAGGGGAGCAGCAAUGAAAGGGUUAUCAUGCAUUUCUACAAUAUAUACUCUCCUUUGCUUCUACACAGACACCAGCAUUUAUUGGAGUUGAGUUGUACUAUCAUAAAUAGUCUCAUUAGGGUAUAAUAGGGUAUAAUGAAAUGUUGUUUUGCAUUUCUAAGUAGUCUGAGACUGCAAAAUUUUGGGAGAGCAAAAUAGAGGGUCUCCUCCAAGAUACACAGCAAUUUUUUUGCACUGUGGACCAGCCUCUUAUCAGUGGUGUGCCUCAGUUUCCACACCCUGUAAAAUGAAGACUAAAAGAAAAUGUAUCCACCUUUGGAAAGUGCUUUGUCAUCUUGGGUUUACAUGCUAGGUAUUAUAACAUUGCAAAAGCAGAUGACUAUUAUUGAUCUCCUCCCUGGCAACAAGUACAUCCCUUCCAGUAUGUGCCUAAUCUCCAGCCACCCAAAGAAUUAAGGCCUCUGAAAUGUAAGCCUCCCACACAGUAACAUGCUAUUACCCAGCCUAAAGUGCACAAAUGUAAUAACUGAGAUCUUUAGGUGAAAAAUGAUGCAUUACAGAACAUUCCAAAGAUGGGUACAUAUUGUUACCCCAUUUUACAGAAGAGCACAACAAAAUUAAGGCUCUGUGCACUGUUAAGGGAAUGAAUGAGCUCCAAAGACAGUGGGUCUACUCAUGUGAGUAAGUGCUCAUCAAUGUGAAGAACAAGUCUGCAAACAGGCCUUCUGAAUUCUCCUAGUUUUGCGUCACUUUUUCAUUACUGUCUUUCUCCUAAACAUGUUUUUGUUGUUACAUCAUAUCCAAAUGUUUGAGGAGUAUAUGAACUGGUUACAUUUUGAAUCCAUUCAGCAUUUUUCUUUCUGGGAAAUUAAAUUAAAUGAGCCAGUU